rnacentral:ncRNA from 1 species
UAGGUGGGAGAUUGUCAAUUUGCCAUCGUUCACGCGAUGGUCCGGUGAUCGCCAAUGAAAUACCACUACUUUGAUCGUUUCUUUACUUAUUCGGUAAAGCGAAAAAAUUGUGGCCAAUUUGGCGGCGUUUAUGUCGCUGUUGGUCAUUGUUUUCAUGUUGGAUUGAAGCUUUGUUUACAGCCGUCGCUUUGUGUCUUCAUUUGGCGCAUUGUUGUACUGGGUUAUCCCAGUGUGUGAUGUGGUCACAAUGGAUGAUCGGCGAUAGGCUUGAAGUGAUUCGCUCCGGAAACAGUGUCAGACGGGGAGUUUGACUGGGGCGGUACAUCUGUUAAACGAUAACGCAGGUGUCCUAAGGUAAGCUCAGCGAGGACAGAAACCUCGCCUAGAGUAAACGGGCACAAGCUUACUUGAUUUUGAUUUCCAGUACGAAUAGAAACCGCGAAAGCGUGACCUAUCGAUCCUUUUGAUUGUGUAGAUUUCAUGCAAGAGGUGUCAGAAAAGUUACCACAGGGAUAACUGGCUUUGUGGCAGCC